AGGGCGCACGGUGGAUGCCUUGGCACUAGAAGCCGAUGAAGGACGUUACUAACGACGAUAUGCUUUGGGGAGCUGUAAGUAAGCUUUGAUCCAGAGAUUUCCGAAUGGGGAAACCCAGCAUGAGUUAUGUCAUGUUAUCGAUAUGUGAAUACAUAGCAUAUCAGAAGGCACACCCGGAGAACUGAAACAUCUUAGUACCCGGAGGAAGAGAAAGAAAAUUCGAUUCCCUUAGUAGCGGCGAGCGAAACGGGAAGAGCCCAAACCAACAAGCUUGCUUGUUGGGGUUGUAGGACACUCUAUACGGAGUUACAAAGGACGACAUUAGACGAAUCAUCUGGAAAGAUGAAUCAAAGAAGGUAAUAAUCCUGUAGUCGAAAAUGUUGUCUCUCUUGAGUGGAUCCUGAGUACGACGGAGCACGUGAAAUUCCGUCGGAAUCUGGGAGGACCAUCUCCUAAGGCUAAAUACUCUCUAGUGACCGAUAGUGAACCAGUACCGUGAGGGAAAGGUGAAAAGCACCCCGGAAGGGGAGUGAAACAGAACCUGAAACCGUGUGCUUACAAGUAGUCAGAGCCCGUUAAUGGGUGAUGGCGUGCCUUUUGUAGAAUGAACCGGCGAGUUACGAUUUGAUGCAAGGUUAAGCAGUAAAUGUGGAGCCGUAGCGAAAGCGAGUCUGAAUAGGGCGUUUAGUAUUUGGUCGUAGACCCGAAACCAGGUGAUCUACCCUUGGUCAGGUUGAAGUUCAGGUAACACUGAAUGGAGGACCGAACCGACUUACGUUGAAAAGUGAGCGGAUGAACUGAGGGUAGCGGAGAAAUUCCAAUCGAACCUGGAGAUAGCUGGUUCUCUCCGAAAUAGCUUUAGGGCUAGCCUCAAGUGAUGAUUAUUGGAGGUAGAGCACUGUUUGGACGAGGGGCCCUCUCGGGUUACCGAAUUCAGACAAACUCCGAAUGCCAAUUAAUUUAACUUGGGAGUCAGAACAUGGGUGAUAAGGUCCGUGUUCGAAAGGGAAACAGCCCAGACCACCAGCUAAGGUCCCAAAAUAUAUGUUAAGUGGAAAAGGAUGUGGCGUUGCCCAGACAACUAGGAUGUUGGCUUAGAAGCAGCCAUCAUUUAAAGAGUGCGUAAUAGCUCACUAGUCGAGUGACACUGCGCCGAAAAUGUACCGGGGCUAAACAUAUUACCGAAGCUGUGGAUUGUCCUUUGGACAAUGGUAGGAGAGCGUUCUAAGGGCGUUGAAGCAUGAUCGUAAGGACAUGUGGAGCGCUUAGAAGUGAGAAUGCCGGUGUGAGUAGCGAAAGACGGGUGAGAAUCCCGUCCACCGAUUGACUAAGGUUUCCAGAGGAAGGCUCGUCCGCUCUGGGUUAGUCGGGUCCUAAGCUGAGGCCGACAGGCGUAGGCGAUGGAUAACAGGUUGAUAUUCCUGUACCACCUAUAAUCGUUUUAAUCGAUGGGGGACGCAGUAGGAUAGGCGAAGCGUGCGAUUGGAUUGCACGUCUAAGCAGUAAGGCUGAGUAUUAGGCAAAUCCGGUACUCAUUAAGGCUGAGCUGUGAUGGGGAGAAGACAUUGUGUCUUCGAGUCGUUGAUUUCACACUGCCGAGAAAAGCCUCUAGAUAGAAAAUAGGUGCCCGUACCGCAAACCGACACAGGUAGUCAAGAUGAGAAUUCUAAGGUGAGCGAGCGAACUCUCGUUAAGGAACUCGGCAAAAUGACCCGUAACUUCGGGAGAAGGGGUGCUCUUUAGGGUUAACGCCCAGAAGAGCCGCAGUGAAUAGGCCCAAGCGACUGUUUAUCAAAAACACAGGUCUCUGCUAAACCGUAAGGUGAUGUAUAGGGGCUGACGCCUGCCCGGUGCUGGAAGGUUAAGAGGAGUGGUUAGCUUCUGCGAAGCUACGAAUCGAAGCCCCAGUAAACGGCGGCCGUAACUAUAACGGUCCUAAGGUAGCGAAAUUCCUUGUCGGGUAAGUUCCGACCCGCACGAAAGGCGUAACGAUUUGGGCACUGUCUCAACGAGAGACUCGGUGAAAUCAUAGUACCUGUGAAGAUGCAGGUUACCCGCGACAGGACGGAAAGACCCCGUGGAGCUUUACUGUAGCCUGAUAUUGAAAUUCGGCACAGCUUGUACAGGAUAGGUAGGAGCCUUUGAAACGUGAGCGCUAGCUUACGUGGAGGCGCUGGUGGGAUACUACCCUAGCUGUGUUGGCUUUCUAACCCGCACCACUUAUCGUGGUGGGAGACAGUGUCAGGCGGGCAGUUUGACUGGGGCGGUCGCCUCCUAAAAGGUAACGGAGGCGCUCAAAGGUUCCCUCAGAAUGGUUGGAAAUCAUUCAUAGAGUGUAAAGGCAUAAGGGAGCUUGACUGCGAGACCUACAAGUCGAGCAGGGUCGAAAGACGGACUUAGUGAUCCGGUGGUUCCGCAUGGAAGGGCCAUCGCUCAACGGAUAAAAGCUACCCCGGGGAUAACAGGCUUAUCUCCCCAAGAGUUCACAUCGACGGGAGGUUUGGCACCUCGAUGUCGGCUCAUCGCAUCCUGGGCUGUAGUCGGUCCAAGGGUUGGGCUGUUCGCCCAUUAAAGCGGUACGCGAGCUGGGUUCAGAACGUCGUGAGACAGUUCGGUCCCUAUCCGUCGUGGGCGUAGGAAAUUUGAGAGGAGCUGUCCUUAGUACGAGAGGACUGGGAUGGACAUACCUCUGGUGUACCAGUUGUCGUGCCAACGGCAUAGCUGGGUAGCUAUGUGUGGACGGGAUAAGUGCUGAAAGCAUCUAAGCAUGAAGCCCCCUCAAGAUGAGAUUUCCCAACUUCGGUUAUAAGAUCCCUCAAAGAUGAUGAGGUUAAUAGGUUCGAGGUGGAAGCAUGGUGACAUGUGGAGCUGACGAAUACUAAUCGAUCGAAGACUUAAUC
rnacentral:rRNA from 1 species